rnacentral:sRNA from 1 species
UUGCUGUGUUCACGCAGCCUAGUGUUUACCCUAUAUCUCCCGCUUGGAGCUUCAGGCUUCAUUAGUUUGUGAGUUUAUUGGGGCGGCUCUUAGGCUUUCUGUUCGCCGUUCUUGGGUUGAUCUCUUCAUGACCAAACUAUAUGACUCGUCGUCUAUAAAUGCUCGGCAUCUGGACAUAAAGUCUUCCUCUUGCAAUAUUCGGGAAAAAUUGACAAUAUAUAGAGGUCUUCUCAUCUGAUUCAAUGGAUUCCAGUAUUUUUGUGAUCGUUGCUUUACAGUUAAUUCUACAAGAACAUGCUCUGGUUGGACAGAAAGUCACAUGUUCAAUGGACGGCUCCAUAGUGUCCACAGGAAGAUGUUAUAAGAAGUAUACGGAGGUCAUGAACUGGGAAACAGCCAA